AGGAGGGAGGCUGGAGCUGCCGUGCGUCAGGGUGAUGCAGAGCAUGGGAGGGCCCCGCGUGAGAAAGAGGCCCGUGGGGGCACUCUGGGAAGCAGCAUCAGGAAAGGCACAGAGAGAGAGAGAGAGAGAGGCAGAGACACAGGCAGAAAGAGAAGCAGGCUCCUUGCGGGGGGCCUGAUGCGGAACUCGAUCCCAGGACUUCAAAAUCACACCUGAGCCGAAGGCAGAUGGUCGACCACGGAGCCACCCAGGCGUCCUUGUGGUCCCUCUUUGGCUUCCAACCACCAGCUGAUGUGCUCCAGGGUGGGUGGGCGUCCUGAGAUGCCACCAAUGAGGCACGAGGAGCAACAGCCUGGAAGUUCCUUCAGGCCACAGACAGUGUCCGCCUCAUGCACCUGUUUGAACAGAGGAGGCAGCCAACCAGGGGCAGCCACAGUGAAGUCCACCUUCGCCCUCUGGGUGCGGUCCCCCCUCCCAGGUCUGCCUCGGCUCACGCCCUUCUCACGGCCUGGAAUGCCAGCUCACAUUCACACCCAGAGACGAGCCUGCGCACAGGGAUGGCAGCAGGAUCUUUCACAGCCACGAUUCCAGUUACUUUCCGGAGAGGAGAGGCAAAGUGAGUCAUAGUCCCAUUUUAUGGAUGAAGAAAAUAAAGGCCAAAUAGGCAAAAGGACCUGCCUCCAGAUGGCUGGGCAAAUGGGCUGCACAACCGAGACUGAGAUGUACGGUUUUUUUUUUUUUUUCAAUUUAUGUGGUUGUAAGACUAGGUAGGGUCAAAGAAAAGUUAAGAAAAAUGGUCAUAAAGGGAACAAGUACAGGAAUAUGAAUAAUAAAUAAAACGGAAUUCAAGGCAACAAAGUAUUAAAAGGGAGAAAGGUGGCUAUUUUAUGAUAAAAGGAGCAAUUUCCCAAGAAAGUACAAAAAUCAUGAACCCUUCUCCUACUCAUAUAUUCUAUAUAUAUUGCACCGAACAAUAUGAUUUUGAAAUUAAAGCAAAAACAAGAAGAAAAGGCCAAGGAGACAUGAACAGAUCCUCUAUUAGAGCAGGAGAUAAAUCAGAUAGAGAAAAACACACAAACACAGAAAAUAUGAAUGAUGUCAUGAUCAAGCUUGAUCUAACAGAUUUCUAAAACUUUACACCCAUCAGAAAAUAUACAUCCUUUCAAAUACAGAACAGAAACAUACAGAAAAACUGACCAGAGACUCUUACAAGGACCUCGACAAAUUCUCCAUCAUCGAUAUGACACAAGUCAUAAAUACUGACCAUAAUGCAAUAAAUUUAGACUCCAACAAUACAAAGAUUACCUUAAAAAAAUCCAUAUACCCUAAAAAAAAUUGAAGUGCAUAACACUCGUCAUCAAAAUGGAAAUUGUAUACUAUUUUAGCAGUGAAUGACAUUGUGUAACUAGACCCAAGGAGUUAAGCCAAAGGAGUACUCAAAGAAGAAAAAAAAAAUAUAUAUAUAUAUAUAUAGGCACUUAGCCUGAAGCAGAUUUAUUAGAAAAACUAGAAAGGCUAAAAACAAGUGUCAGCCUCAAACAAGGAUUCUCAGAAUAGAAGAAACUUUGAUGGACAGCAAUGGAGAAGAGAGAUCUGAAGGUUUUAGCUGGCAAGCCCAAUGUGAGCUCCAAGGGGGAUGUGGCCACUCAGAAAUAUGACUGCAGGUUCUAUCAACAGAGGUAUGUGCUCCAAAUCCAAGGAGGUGAUAGUCUCCCUCCCCCGUGACUGGGCCGACUUUGGCGGCGGGGAGUUGGGGAGGAGGCGGCAACAGAUUUGACUUUGACCAACUGGAUCAUGUCCAAAGCCAGACCGAACUCUUUACAAUCCCUGGAGUCAGGAAGAAUGACGGCAAGAAGUAUGACUAUGUAUUCCGCGAAAGAGAAAUGUCGGGCUCAGGUUGGAGGGGGCCUGUUACUACUUCCAAGGGGCAGAACCGGAGCCAGGAUGGGAAUGCUACUGGACAGUUAAUUUGGCUAGAUCUCAGGAAGAGAUCUUCUCCCAAGUUCAGGCCGCCCAGCUGUGAAAAUGCAGCUUGUGGAGGGCCUACGCUCCAUCUCCGGAGGCAAGACCGUCAAGAGGCUGCGGCUCCACGGGCUUGGAGGAGGCCUACCCCGUCCAGGGAUCUGGUGUCUCUCCUCUCCAGAGAAGUUCCGUUUCCUCUUUUGAAGAGGCAGAGAACACUCUGGCUCCUUCAGGAAAACCUCAGGGCUUCCCCCGUUCGCCCAAAUGGCUCUUGGUAACUGCGCUGCUUCAUUUCUGACCAACACGCACGGUCCGUUGCGACUCCACUCCUCGAGCUGGAGGCCCCCAGAAGAGCAGCUAAAGGCAGAGGCCCCAGGUCAGCAGCCUCGGGUUUGAAUCCACCCUCUGCCUCUUUGGGGUUGUAUCUCUCAGAUCAGCUCCCACCCUGAGCCUCGGUUUCCUCCUCGGGGAAAUCUACCCCUGCAUCUACCCCCCUCCCCACCCCCACCGGCACAGUGCCCGAUGGGCAGAGGGCCCUCCACUCAUCCUCUUCCACACCCCCUUGCGCUUUGGUGUGUCCUCACCGCCUGUGGCCGGGAAGGUGCUCGCCGGUUAAAAAAAAAAAAAAAUCUGUAAAAUGAUCCACACGAUGAUUGCACCGUCUGGAACACCACCCUGCCCCACCACAUCCCCAGCGUGUGUUCAAACACCGUGCAAAGGACACAGGAUCCUGGAGCUGCCAGGUUCACAGCCCCACUCUGCCACCUGUGUGGCCCCGGACAAGUCACUAAACCAUUCUGUGCCUGUUUCUUCGUAAGCUUACUUUACAAGCUAAAUGAGCUGCUGCAGGCGUCUGGCUUCUGUUUAGGCCCCUGACCUAUGUUCCUCCCCACUCUCUGUCGUGCUCAGGUCCGACCACAUCAGCUUCCUUGUGGGUCAGACACACCAAGCUUGUUCGCACCUCAGGGCCUUUGCACCUGCUGUUCCCUCUGCCAGAAUCACUCUCCCAUUUCCCCAGACAUCCACAUGUCUUUUUACCUCGGGUCUUAGCUCAAAAGUCACCUCCCUCACUAGACUGUCAGCUCCACGAGGGCUCUUGCAUCUGUGUCACUGCUGUGACUUGCAUCCCUGUCCCUGACACGUUUGCUGAGUGAGUGCAAGCCUGGUGCUGACACUCAACACAUGUACGUGCCUGUACCUUCUAGGUGCAUAAUCAGCCCCUUUUUAAACCCGCUGCUCAGAAAUACAGUCCUUCCCCUUUAGGAAGCGUUCCACCAAACCCAGGAGGCCAAGCUGUCUUCCCCUCACAUGGACCCACUUCCUCCCUCUGUCCCUGUGGUGGGGAGGUGGGCGGGGACUCAGAGGCUAGCCCAGCUGGUGAUCUUCUCCUGCAGAUCCAAGCCCCUGGAUCUCUAAAGCAACCUCGAGAACGUGAUAUGGGCCCCUAGGGUGGAAAUGAGUCAGUCAGAGCCAAACCUGAAAUCUUAGAGGCAUGGCCACUUCUUGGAAAGGCAAAGACAUGCGUGUUUAGACAGAUCUGUGUGCCCAGAGCCAAGGACAAGCAGUGGGCCAGGAAGUGGGGUUGGUGGGGUGGACAAGACCUUCCCUGGGGUUCCCUCCACUGGGCCUGUUCUUCCCCAGGCCCCUGCCCCACAUCUUCCUAAAUGUCCACCCUCACCCUGCUUUACAUUUUCCUCCUGGUCCUGAUGGGACACUGCAGGGCCCUGUUGUCUCAUGUGAAAUCCUGGGGGCCAGGCAUGUCUCAGAAUUCACAGGAGCUCGUAUUAUGGAAGGGUCAUCUGGUAUAAAGUCCCACCCGACAUAACCACCCUACCCCCCAGAGGCCCAGCAUUCCCUGGAUCGCUCACAUUAAUUCCUCUGCACCAAGACACACAAGCAUUCGUGCCAGGGAGGAUAAGCAAACACACCAAAGAGCCUCGUGAUUAGUUCACCUCAGUCUCGCUUCCAAUCGAGUUAGGGAAAAACUUUCGGUUUUUAGAGCUUGCAGAUUUCAGAAUUAGAAAUAAGGGCGACUAGACCUGUUUAGAGUUGUUUGCUUGUGUAUCACCUGUCUUCUCAAUUAGAAUUGAAACUCCAGGGACACCUGGGUGGCUCAGCGGUUGGGCCUCUGCCUUGGGGUCAGGUCGUGAUAUCCGGAGUCCCGGGAUCGAGUCCCUGCAUCAGGCUCCCUGCAGGGGGCCUGCUUCUCCCUCUGCCUAUGUUUCUGCCUCUCUCAUUCUCGGUGUGUCUCGUGAAUAAAUAAAUAAAAUCUUAAAGAAAAAAAAGAAGAAGAAGAAACUCCAGAAGA